CAAGGAAUUUCCCCCAAUGGGCGCAAGCCUGAGGGAGCAACGCCGCGUGCGGGAGGACGCCCUUCGGGGUGUAAACCGCUUUUCGAGGGGACGAAGACGAUGACGGUACCCUCGGAAUAAGGCCCGGCUAACUACGUGCCAGCAGCCGCGGUAAUACGUAGGGGCCGAGCGUUGUCCGGAGUUACUGGGCGUAAAGGGUGCGCAGGCGGCCACGCACAUCGGUGGUGAAAGCCCCGGGCUCAACCCGGGAGGGUCCAUCGAGAUGGCGUGGCUGGAGGCAGGGCGAGGCCGGUGGAAUUCCGGGUGUAGUGGUGAAAUGCGUAGAGAUCCGGAGGAACACCAGUGGCGCAGGCGGCCGGCUGGACCUGUCCUGACGCUGAGGCACGAAGGCGUGGGGAGCGAACGG
rnacentral:rRNA from 1 species